ensembl:lncRNA
CCUUCUCUAGGUCAGGCCUGAGAUACACACAUCCUUCCCUGGGCGAUCACAGAAUCAUAGAAUUGUCUGCAUUGGAAGUGACUCUUAAAGGCCAUCUGGUCCCACUUCCUGCAAUGAACUGGGACAUUACAGCUCCAUCAGUGCUCAGAGCCCCAGCAGCCUGACCUUGGCUGUCUGCAAGGCUGGGACAUCCACCACCUCUCUGAGCAACCUGUGCCACUGCCUCACCCAGUCAAGUGACUCUAGGCUGCAGAAUCAGUGGGCUGUUGGCUCUGCAGUGAAGGGACCUGGCAGGAGCUGCGUUCAGCUGCUGGCGUGGCAGUGAUGGAGCCAGCAAGAGGAGCCAAGAAGGGCGCACACCUCCACGUGGGGGAUUUUCAGCAGCCCCAGGUGGGGCUGCAGUGUGAGAAGGAGGGGAAGCUGCGUGCAUCAUUGCCACUCUUUGCAUCCGAUACCCAAACACAGCACGGGGAAAUGACAGCAAUAUGUGCUCCCCUGACACCCAGAGAACAUAGCGAUAUUGCUGUGAAAAUGAGGCUCAACUCUGAACCCUUCCCUCUGCGAGGGAGCUAUGAUUAGAAUCUCAUCUCGCCCCGUAUUGCGCAGCACCUGCAGAGGAAAAUCCCACCCAGCAGCACAGAACUAUUUUUAAAGGCCUGUUUCUGUCGGGCUGGGAGAUAGGGCUGGUGAGAAUCCUGCUGGUGCCACGGAUUGCUUUCAAACCCCAUGUAGGAAUGGAGCUAGACUUGGGGAAUGUGGCUUAAAAAGGAAGCGUCGGGAUUGUUUUGCCAAGGCUGAAUCUUGUGCCAGCUCUCCGCCUGCAGAGCUGAAUUUCAACAACUUGUGUGUCUUUUUUUGGGUUCACUGUGCUGAAGUCGGUGAGAUGCCUCCAGCUGUAGAAAACUCAUGUGCAGGAAGAAGAAGGAUGCCACAGAAGGCAGCGAGGCUGAAAGAGCUGAGCCCUGGGGAUGUGAGAUGUGGUGAUCUUGAAUUUGGGGUGCUUUGUAGGUGAAUGAAGUCUAUCACCAAGCCCUGGCAGCACCUGGCAAUGGAGAGGGGACAUGCAUAGGCAGUCAGAAUCAAAGCUCUGCUCUCCUCUUGAUAUGCUGCUCAUGGAUAGCGCUUCAUGCUGUUCAAACAUAAUUCUCUCCUUUUCUGAAUGCAACUAGAGAAGUGGAUUACAUUUGUCUUAAUAAAGCAGGUCGUCUCGCAAGCAGUGGGACAGGAAGCCUGGCUUCCUGUGGUGGGCUCCCAUGCGCGACCAUUGGUGUCAGCUAGAGUGGCUGAGCUCGUGUCACGGCCCAGGAGUGGGGUGGGAAGUAGAACAGUAAUGGGAAGAAGUGUUAAUUUGGGUAUAUCUUUCCUUAUAAAGUCUGUUAGAACUUCAUUCCUUUGAGACUUGUAUUCUUCUGCCAGCCCUGAUGGCAGACCAGCAGGUUUAGAAAGCUGUUAUGCUAUGCCUGUGGGCCAGCUGGCCCAAUCACAUGAGCCUCGUUCCCCUGGGAAAUGGAAAAAAAUAAACAGAGCUGACCUGGAAUCUCUGCAAAUUCUUUGUCUUUAUAUCCCACAGCCUUUGACUCGCAUACCUGUGCUUUUUAUGGCUGGUAUUUGUCAGCAGGGCUCUGCAUCCAUGAUGGAGAUCAGCAGAGAACAGGUCCCACUUAGUGUAUACCAUUGACUGCGCAGUUUGCAGAUUGAACAUGCAGCAGUAAAUAGAUGUACCCAGCUACAAAACCACUUCCCAUUUUGUAUAAUACAGGCCAACAGAGAUUUGAAAAAUGUUCUGUUUCUGUAUAGAAAGACUAUUUUUAAAAUUGAACAGUAAGUUAGUCCUCUAUUGACUUUCAAUUUCCAUCCUCUUACAUUUCCAUAGCAACUCUGGCC